AAAAACUCAUUUUAUUACUCUUUCACACUGCUCCAAACAUCUUCCUCGACAGCCGGGAAACUGCUCAUUCGUCCAUCCUUGAAUUCAGCGACUCAAACUCUCUAUGGAAACGGCUGCACAGAACAAUAGGUCACUCAUCAUACUCCACAAUGCAGUGAUCGUCACCAUGGACGCUCAAAGCCGCGUCUUUCUGAAAGGCGCGGUUGCUAUUCGAAGCGAUACAAUCAUCGCCAUCGGUCAAUCCGCCGACAUUCUUCAAAAAUUCUCGUCGUUUUCAGCUCAAGUCACCGAUCUCCAUGGCCAAUUUCUCCUCCCAGGGUUCAUAAACACGCACGUCCACACGUCUCAGCAGCUCGGAAGAGGAAUUGCCGAUGACGUCGAUUUGCUGACUUGGUUACACCAUCGCAUUUGGCUGUACGAGUCGAACAUGAGCGAGGAAGACUCUUACAUUUCCGCUUUGCUCUGCGGAAUUGAACUCAUACACUCCGGUGUUACAUGCUUUGCGGAAGCAGGAGGGCAGCAUGUAUCAGGAAUGACGAGGGCAGUGGAAUUACUCGGCAUACGAGCAUGUUUAACAGAGUCCAUAAUGGAUUCAGGUGAGGGAUUACCUGAAUCCUGGGCUACUAGGACUACAGAAGAGUGUAUUCAGUCACAAAAGGACCUUUACAAGAAGCACCACAAUACAGCAGAUGGGCGGAUCAAAGUGUGGUUUGGAAUACGGCAAAUUAUGAAUGCAACUGAUAAUUUAUUAAUAAAAACCAGAGACAUGGCAAAAGAACUAGAAACUGGAAUACAUAUGCAUGUUGCAGAGAUACCCUAUGAAAACCAGCAUGUUGUUGCCACAAGAGAAGUUGAUCAUGGAACUGUUACAUACCUUAACAGUAUCAACUUUCUAGAGAAAAAUCUGCUGGCAGCGCAUACUGUAUGGGUCAAUAAGGAUGAGGUUGACAUUCUUUCAAAUGCCGGGGUUAAAGUUUCACAUUGUCCAGCUGCUGCAAUGCGAAUGCUUGGAUUUGCACCCAUAAGAGAAAUGCUCAGUGCAGGGAUUUGUGUAUCCUUGGGAACUGAUGGUGCACCAUCAAAUAAUAGGAUGAGCAUUGUUGAUGAGAUGUACCUAGCUUCUUUAAUCAACAAAGGUCGGGAAGUUUUUGCCAAGGGAACCACUGAUCCAACAAUUUUUCCUGCCGAAACAAUUCUGAAGAUGGUAACAAUUAAUGGUGCCAAAUCAGUACUUUGGGACAAGGAAAUAGGAUCACUUGAGGUGGGGAAAAAGGGGAUUUUGGAUCUUCACAAUGUAGCACUUUGAAUGAACAAAUAUGCAUGCCGAGAUACCAAUACGUUUCUCAGUUUCAAGGCUGAUAUGAUUGUCGUCAAUCCUUUUUCAUGGUCCAUGAUGCCUAUUCAUGACUGCAUUUCAAGCUUGGUAUAUAGCAUGAGAACUGAGAAUAUUGUAUCUGUCAUAUGUAAUGGGCGAUGGAUUAUGAAGGAUAAGAAGAUCCUGACGGUGGAUGAAGCAGAAGUCUUAGACGCAGCUAAGCAUGCCUCCAUUGAACUUCUGAGGAGGGCUGGUAUCCAGAUUCCCAGCAGAAUGAACGUGAUGUAAACUGUAAA